rnacentral:rRNA from 1 species
GUGGGGAAUAUUGGACAAUGGGCGAAAGCCUGAUCCAGCCAUGCCGCGUGUGUGAAGAAGGUCUUCGGAUUGUAAAGCACUUUAAGUUGGGAGGAAGGGCAGUAAGUUAAUACCUUGCUGUUUUGACGUUACCGACAGAAUAAGCACCGGCUAACUUCGUGCCAGCAGCCGCGGUAAUACGAAGGGUGCAAGCGUUAAUCGGAAUUACUGGGCGUAAAGCGCGCGUAGGUGGUUUUGUAAGUUGGAGGUGAAAUCACCGGGCUCAACCUGGGAACUGCCUCCAAAACUGCAUGACUAGAGUACGGUAGAGGGUAGUGGAAUUUCCUGUGUAGCGGUGAAAUGCGUAGAUAUAGGAAGGAACACCAGUGGCGAAGGCGACUACCUGGACUGAUACUGACACUGAGGUGCGAAAGCGUGGGGAGCAAACAGGAUUAGAAACCCUAGUAGUCC